ACCCAUAACCGCUACCCGGGACACGACAUACCUUACUCAAACCCAAAUAUAUAAGUAUCCAAAUAGUACUAAAGUGGCACAAAAGUCCAAUUUGUAGGUGAUGAUUAUGUUGCAAUUGAUUGAUUUGUUUGAUAGGCUAAAGAAGGAUAUUGCGUGCCUCUGCCAGGAAUCCAAAUAAUAAAUCAAGUAGACGAACUAAUUAACGUUUAUUGAUA
rnacentral:lncRNA from 1 species